rnacentral:lncRNA from 1 species
GCAGCCGCUGCCAGCGCCAAGUCCAGCCAGUAACCGAUAGGGCUGCCCUCCUCGGAGUCAUCAACGGGCUUGGAAUUCCAUUCCUACGCUUCCCAAGGGAAACAACCCCUACUUCCAGCCAGGUGCUCAGAGCGAGAGGGUCUUCUUGUCGUUUGCUCCUGAGUCCCCAGAGCCAGGCACAUAGUACUCAGUAGACGUCGGUGGCCUCAAAGGUCACAGGGGCAUGAGUGCCUAGCCUGGCGAUGCCUGGGGGAGAAGGAGAGGUCGGAGGACACCGAAGUUAACACAGCUGGGUGCAAGAACACUUCCUGGGGCAUAGGCCAACGGUUACUGAACGGCCAUUGUGUUCCAGGUAUAGGAUUUAAAGCCUUACACCUAAGGGCAAACUCUGGAAGCAGUCCAGAUGUUCAUCAGGAGGAUGAAUGAAGAGACAAAUUGGUGUACUCACAAAAUGGAAUUAUAUACAGCACCAAGAAGAACAAAUUCUUGAUACAACAUAUGUCAUGGAUGGCUGUCCACAUGGGUGAAUGGGCUUCACGGAAAGAUUAAU